rnacentral:rRNA from 1 species
UACGUAGGGUGCAAGCGUUAAUCGGAAUUACUGGGCGUAAAGCGUGCGCAGGCGGUGAUGUAAGACAGAUGUGAAAUCCCCGGGCUCAACCUGGGAACUGCAUUUGUGACUGCAUCGCUGGAGUGCGGCAGAGGGGGAUGGAAUUCCGCGUGUAGCAGUGAAAUGCGUAGAUAUGCGGAGGAACACCGAUGGCGAAGGCAAUCCCCUGGGCCUGCACUGACGCUCAUGCACGAAAGCGUGGGGAGCGAACGGG